GGCCUAUUAACUUAGUUGUUUAGAGUGUUGAGCUAAUAACACGAAGGUCGUAGGUUCAUGACCUACAUGGGCCA
rnacentral:ncRNA from 15 species